AGUGAACGCUGGCGGUAGGCCUAACACAUGCAAGUCGAACGGCAGCACAGUAAGAGCUUGCUCUUACGGGUGGCGAGUGGCGGACGGGUGAGGAAUACAUCGGAAUCUACUUUUUCUUGGGGGAUAACGUAGGGAAACUUACGCUAAUACCGCAUACGACCUACGGGUGAAAUCAGGGGAUCUUCGGACCUUGCGCGAUUGAAUGAGCCGAUGUCGGAUUAGCUAGUUGGCGGGGUAAAGGCCCACCAAGGCGACGAUCCGUAGCUGGUCUGAGAGGAUGAUCAGCCACACUGGAACUGAGACACGGUCCAGACUCCUACGGGAGGCAGCAGUGGGGAAUAUUGGACAAUGGGCGCAAGCCUGAUCCAGCCAUACCGCGUGGGUGAAGAAGGCCUUCGGGUUGUAAAGCCCUUUUGUUGGGAAAGAAAAGCAGCAGGUUAAUACCCCGCUGUUCUGGCGGUACCCAAAGAAUAAGCACCGGCUAACUUCGUG
rnacentral:rRNA from 1 species